CCUACGGGUGGCAGCAGUGAGGAAUAUUGGUCAAUGGGCGGAAGCCUGAACCAGCCAAGUAGCGUGCGGGAUGAAGGCCCUACGGGUCGUAAACCGCUUUUGCACGGGGAUAACACCAUCCACCUGUUGAGGUCUGCAGGUACCGUGCGAAUAAGGGCCGGCUAAUUCCGUGCCAGCAGCCGCGGUACUAUGGAAGGCCCGGGGUUUAUCCGGAUUCAUUGGGCUAAAAGGGAGCGUGGGCGGGCGUUCAAGUCAGAUGUAAAAUCGCGCGGCCCAACCGCGCCCCGCAGUUGAAACUGGACGCCUUGAGUGCACGACAGGCAAGCGGAAUUCGUGGUGUAGCAGUGAAAUGCAUAGAUAGCACGAGGAACCCCGAUGGCGAAGGCAGCCUGCCGGGAUGCGACUGACGCUGAGGCUCGAAGGUGCGGGUAUCAAACAGGAUUAGAUACCCGUGUAGUC
rnacentral:rRNA from 1 species